GACUACCGGGGUAUCUAAUCCUGUUUGCUCCCCACGCUUUCGCACCUCAGCGUCAGUAUUUGUCCAGCAAGCCGCCUUCGCCACUGGUGUUCCUCCUAAUCUCUACGCAUUUCACCGCUACACUAGGAAUUCCACUUGCCUCUCCAAUACUCAAGUUCUCCAGUUUCAAAUGCCGUUCCCCGGUUGAGCCGGGACCUUUCACAUCUGACUUAAAAAACCGCCUGCGUGCCCUUUACGCCCAGUAAAUCCGGACAACGCUUGUCCCCUACGUAUUACCGCGGCUGCUGGCACGUAGUUAGCCGGGACUUUCUCCUUGGGUACCGUCUUUGUUCUUCCCCAAUAACAGAACUUUACGAUCCGAAGACCUUCUUCAUUCACGCGGUAUUGCUGCGUCAGGGUUUCCCCCAUUGCGCAAUAUUCCCCACUGCAGCCUCCCGUAGG
rnacentral:rRNA from 1 species